AUUGAACGCUGGCGGCAGGCCUAACACAUGCAAGUCGAGCGGAUGAAGGGAGCUUGCUCCUGGAUUCAGCGGCGGACGGGUGAGUAAUGCCUAGGAAUCUGCCUGGUAGUGGGGGAUAACGUCCGGAACGGGCGCUAAUACCGCAUACGUCCUGAGGGAGAAAGUGGGGGAUCUUCGGACCUCACGCUAUCAGAUGAGCCUAGGUCGGAUUAGCUAGUUGGUGGGGUAAAGGCCUACCAAGGCGACGAUCCGUAACUGGUCUGAGAGGAUGAUCAGUCACACUGGAACUGAGACACGGUCCAGACUCCUACGGGAGGCAGCAGUGGGGAAUAUUGGACAAUGGGCGAAAGCCUGAUCCAGCCAUGCCGCGUGUGUGAAGAAGGUCUUCGGAUUGUAAAGCACUUUAAGUUGGGAGGAAGGGCAGUAGGUUAAUACCUUGCUGUUUUGACGUUACCAACAGAAUAAGCACCGGCUAACUUCGUG
rnacentral:rRNA from 1 species